CUCUAGAGGGAAGCGCUUUCUGUUGUCUGAAAGAAAAGAACGCGCUUCCCUAUAGAGGG
rnacentral:pre_miRNA from 1 species